rnacentral:rRNA from 1 species
CGGCGGACGGGGGAGUAACGCGUGGGUAACCUGCCUCAUACAGGGGGAUAACAGUUAGAAAUGGCUGCUAAUACCGCAUAAGACCACGGUACUGCAUGGUACAGUGGUAAAAACUCCGGUGGUAUGAGAUGGACCCGCGUCUGAUUAGGUAGUUGGUGAGGUAACGGCCCACCAAGCCGACGAUCAGUAGCCGACCUGAGAGGGUGACCGGCCACAUUGGGACUGAGACACGGCCCAG